rnacentral:rRNA from 1 species
UACGUAGGCAGCGAGCGUUGUUCGGAAUUACUGGGCGUAAAGAGUGUGUAGGCGGUGCUCUAAGUUCGGUGUGAAAUCUCCUGGCUCAACUGGGAGGGUGCGCCGGAAACUGGAGUGCUUGAGCGUGGGAGAGGAAAGCGGAAUUCCUGGUGUAGCGGUGAAAUGCGCAGAUAUCAGGAGGAACACCGGUGGCGAAGGCGGUUCUCUGGGCAUGUCCUGACGCUGAGGAGCGAAAGCGUGGGGAGCGAACAGG